rnacentral:rRNA from 1 species
UGUGUAGGCGGCUCCUUAAGUUUGGUGUGAAAUCUCCCGGGCUCAACUGGGAGGGUGCGCCGAAUACUGAAGGGCUAGAGUGCGGGAGAGGAGAGUGGAAUUCCUGGUGUAGCGGUGAAAUGCGUAGAUAUCAGGAGGAACACCGGUGGUGUAGACGGCUCUCUGGACCGUAACUGACGCUGAGACACGAAAGCGUGGGUAGCAAACAGGAUUAGAUACCCUGGUAGUCCACGCCCUAAACGACUGCAUAUUUGGUGUGGGUCAUUCAGUUGAUCUGUGCCGGAGCUAACGCGUUAAAUAUGCCGCCUGGGGAGUACAGUCGCAAGGCUGAA